rnacentral:lncRNA from 1 species
UGCUGGGCAGAGGAUCAAACUUCAGGUCAGCAAGAGGACGGAUGGGCCAGCAGCCCCAGGGCAUCUUUCUGACUGACUGAGUCAAUCUCUCAACUCUGUGUGCAAACCUGACCUCCCCUCCUUGGACACAGCCUUCAUUUUCCAGUCCUGAGUCAUCUCCGGGAACCUUCUGUCCAGGCCACCAGCCAGCUGUCUCCCCAGACUCCAAGAUUGCUCAGAAGUUCCAAAGAGAAACUUUGCAACUGUGGAGCAGAGAAUCCAGACGACCCCUUGACUGCAUUCAAAACUGACUAAGAGCUGAUGGACGUUAUGUGAUCUCGGACCAGACAGCAUGAUGGGACAUUUGUGAGAACACAGUAUGUAAGUGAAGCAGAGAAGUGUUAGAUGAAACAUAUUAUCUGUAUUGUUCAAAACACCAUUGUUAUGCCAAGGAAAUAUCCCAGAUUUAAAAAGACCAAAGACACAAGAUAGGGAAAUGAGAUAUGGCAUCCUAGACUGAAUCCCAGGGAAAUGGACAACACUGGAAUGUUGGUUUUGUUUUAGUUAGAAUUUUAUGCCUAUGAUAAAUUUCCUGAAUGUGUGAACUCUAUUAUAAUUAUAUAGAAAAUAUUCUCCUUUUAGGAAAUACUGAUGGAUUAAUGGGUUAAGG